AAUUCCAUCGCAAAACCGUUAAUUGUUAACAUUUUUGUUACAGACAUACUUAUAAAAAGGAAAGCAGUUUCAAAUAAAACAUAGAAAACAAUAAGAACUUACUCUAUAAACUUGUAAAAACUAUUCAAAAAUUAAGUUUCAUAAAUUACUUAAACAUGAAGGUUGCCAUACCCGUGCUUGUUCUGUGUCUGGUAGAGGCUAUCUCAAGUUCGCCCGUUGAAGAAAAAAAAAUUGGAGGAGACCCAUUAAACUGUGUUAUAAAAGCCAUUGAUGGCUUGAAAAAAUGUCUUUCUGGCGAAAAAUACGUCGCUGAAAACAUUGCCAUUGGCCAAGUCCAAGUUAAAGCGUUCAAUCAAGGAGGUGAUAUCGUGGAGUGCUUGAAGGCUGUAGCCAAAGAUUUGGUGACCUGCCUGGUCUCUGGUGAUAAAGACGCUAUGGGAAAAUUUUAAAUUUGCGUGAUCGCUUUACGCAAUCUUUAGCAGUGUUGUUAUGUUAAAACCAAUGUAAAAUUGCAUAAAAUAUCUCAUUUAGAAAGAAAGAAAAGAAAGAAAGAAAACAUUUAUUUGCCAAAAUGGAUUAAACCUACAUGUUUUACCGAAUAUAGGUAUGCAAAUAUAAACAAAUAAAGAGGAGCAUGCUAUCCACUACAAAUCCAAAACAAAAAAAGAAUUAUAAUAUAUACUAGCACUAAAUUCUAUCCGAGUCUAUCAUUAAAGAAAUCAUUUGAAGUAUAAUAACAUUUAUCAAUUAUUAAAGACUUGAGGUGCUUUUUAAAUAGAUUUAAAUUUAAGCUUUUAUAUUGAUUUGGAAUUAUAUUAUUGUAAGUAAUUUGAAACAAUACAGCUAAAGAACUCCAUUAUACGAUUCUUGAGUAGAAAUUUUGUGCUUUUUGUCGACGUAUAUGUAAAUUACAAAGAAAAUAUUAUGUGUAUUAUUCAUUUCACCUUUAGAAUUUAGAAAUAAUAAGUGAAUUUGAAUCUUUAAAUUUG